UUAGAGUUUGAUCCUGGCUCAGGAUAAACGCUAGCGGCAGGCCUAACACAUGCAAGUCGAGGGGUAACGAUGUCUUCGGACAGGCGACGACCGGCGCACGGGUGAGUAUCGCGUUUGUAACCUACCUUUAACUGGAGAAUAGCCCGAAGAAAUUCGGAUUAAUACUCCAUAAUACUAUGAACUGGCAUCUUUUUAUAGUUAAAGCUCCGGCGGUUAAAGAUGGGCAUGCGUAACAUUAGAUUGUUGGUGAGGUAACGGCUCACCAAGUCUACGAUGUUUAGGGGGUCUGAGAGGAUGGUCCCCCACACUGGUACUGAGACACGGACCAGACUCCUACGGGAGGCAGCAGUGAGGAAUAUUGGUCAAUGGGCGCAAGCCUGAACCAGCCAUGCCGCGUGAAGGAUGACAGCGCUACGCGUUGUAAACUUCUUUUGUACAGGAAGAAACACUUCUACGUGUAGAAGCUUGACGGUACUGUACGAAUAAGCAUCGGCUAACUCCGUGCCAGCAGCCGCGGUAAUACGGAGGAUGCACAAGCGUUAUCCGGAUUUAUUGGGUUUAAAGGGUGCGUAGGCGGGCCUUUAAGUCAGUGGUGAAAUCCUGCAGCUUAACUGUAGAACUGCCAUUGAUACUGAAGGCCUUGAGUAUAGUUGAGGUAGGCGGAAUGUGUAAUGUAGCGGUGAAAUGCUUAGAUAUUACACAGAACACCGAUUGCGUAGGCAGCUUACUAAGCUAUAACUGACGCUGAUGCACGAAAGCGUGGGGAGCGAACAGGAUUAGAUACCCUGGUAGUCCACGCCGUAAACGAUGAUCACUCGUUGUUGGCAAUACACCGUCAGCGACUGAGCGAAAGCAUUAAGUGAUCCACCUGGGGAGUACGGUCGCAAGAUUGAAACUCAAAGGAAUUGACGGGGGCCCGCACAAGCGGAGGAACAUGUGGUUUAAUUCGAUGAUACGCGAGGAACCUUACCUGGGCUUAAAUGUAGAGUGCAUAAACGGGAAACUGUUUUUUCCUUCGGGACUCUUUACAAGGUGCUGCAUGGUUGUCGUCAGCUCGUGCCGUGAGGUGUCGGGUUAAGUCCCAUAACGAGCGCAACCCCUCUAUCGUUAGUUGCCAGCGAUUCGGUCGGGAACUCUAGAGAGACUGCCGGUGUUAAACCGGAGGAAGGUGGGGAUGACGUCAAGUCCUCAUGGCCCUUACAUCCAGGGCUACACACGUGUUACAAUGGAUGGUACAGAGGGCAGCAAUACCGCGAGGUGGAGCUAAUCCCAAAAAGCCGGUCGUAGUCCGGAUUGGAGUCUGCAACUCGCAUCCUUGAAGCCGGAAUCGCUAGUAAUCGCGCAUCAGAACGGCGCGGUGAAUACGUUCCCGGGCCCUGUACACACCGCCCGUCACAACAUGGAAGCUGGCUGGACCAGAAGUCGCCAAGCUAACCCGCAAGGGAUGCAAGCGCCUAAGGUCUGGUUGGUGACUGGGGUGAAGUCGUAACAUGGUAACC
rnacentral:rRNA from 1 species